UACGAAGGGGGCUAGCGUUGUUCGGAAUUACUGGGCGUAAAGGGCGCGUAGGCGGCCCGAUAAGUCAGAUGUGAAAGCCCCGAGCUUAACUUGGGAACUGCAUUUGAUACUGUCGGGCUAGAGAGUGAGAGAGGAAAGUGGAAUUGCGAGUGUAGAGGUGAAAUUCGUAGAUAUUCGCAAGAACACCAGUGGCGAAGGCGGCUUUCUGGCUCACAACUGACGCUAAGGCGCGAAAGCGUGGGGAGCAAACAGG
rnacentral:rRNA from 1 species